GGUCGGGUCCUGCGCGGCAGGGCGUCCGAACCGUGUCAGGACCGGAAGGUAGCAGCACUAAGGAUUCAACCCUGGGUGCCGCAGGCUAGCCCGGCUUGA
rfam:Chloroflexi bacterium OLB15 TZ15_CFX003CONTIG000070, whole genome shotgun sequence.